rnacentral:lncRNA from 1 species
AACAUUGCAAAGGGUUGUCGGUUUCAACCUUGACGCUAUAUUCUCGUGCGUUUUAGAAAACAUUUAAAAUAAUAUUGACAAUGUUUUGUAAGCAAUUCUAGUGCUUCUAACGGUAAAUUUCAUUUAAAAUGUUUCAGUUAAGGGUGGAUUGUCGUGUGUAACGGGACAUGGUUUUGAACACACGGACGAAUGUUUAAGGAAUGUGAAUUAAAAUCAUAAUAAAUAUAAAGAAAUUAAUUUAAAAUUAUUCGGUGUAAUAGUGAAUUAAGUGAAAUUAUAUGUGAAAGAAAUGUUGCAUGAAUAAUUUCCAAGAAAAUAUAUGUGAAAUAAAUGUGUGCAUAAAGAAUAUAAUGAAAAUAUACAUAAUUAGUAUUUUUAAUUAAAUUAUAGAAAAAAAUAGUUCGAAAUUGUAAAAUUCAAAAACUGUGAAUAAAUUUUUGAAAAAAAAAAAUAUAUUUCGUAUAAAUUAUUAUAAAUGUCCUUCAAUAGUUUGGCAAGUGUUUGUGUUUAACUGAAAAUCUAUUAAAUAAAAUUCUAGUAUAAAACAUGUCAUUUUUAAAAUAAAACUUAAAUAAGUUUGAAAUUGAAAGAAACAACAAAAGAAAUACGAAAUUCAAUUGUCUUUAAUAGUAGUGUUACGCAAAUCUAGUUCUUCCUACCGUUUCUAACAAUAUAUACAUUGUAAUAUACUAAAUAUAAAGAACGUAUCGUUACUUUGUUUUUUUGCAAAAAUACAACACGUGUAGAGAACAUGCUGUCUGUUACGAAUAUAAAAAUGCGCAAAUAAAAAUCUAACUUCGCAGGUUCCAAGAAGGAAAAUUGUAUGGUUUUAUAUUGCUAACAGGCAUAAAUCUUAAAACAUAAUCAUCGCAGGUUGUGCGUAUCAAGUGUAUCUUUCAAAUUACUUUUAUAUACAAAUCAACAAACUAAAUUUUGCAAACAAAUCGAAAAAUAAACAAAAAAAAUUUAUAGAAAAACAUCUAACGAUCCAUAAGGAGAACAUAAAAAACACUCUCACCCCCUGCAGUCACUGUUCUAAGUUUAUAGCCCAAGGACGAAAUGUUAAAAUGACACUAAGUGCACAGUCAUUGUGGUGAGUGUACGUACAUAAAUAUAUAUAGAGGACUAAGAAAAUAGCAAUAAUAACAGCAACAACAAAAACAAGAAAGAACAAAAAAUAUAUCUGAAUAUAAAUCGAAGACAACAAGAGAAAGUGUAACAAAAGAAUAAAAGAAUUUGUGUUUAAAAAAAAUUGUUUUAAAAAAAGGUUUCUAUGGAUACUUGAAAAACAAAGAAAGACAAAAAAAAAAGAAUGUAAUUUUCCAUAAAGAAAAAAUAAACCUUAAACCAAACAAACGUUUUUGGCACUUUCGAAAGAGUAUUAUUGUAUGUGAUGUAAGAUUUUGAAUUGGGAUUUUUUUUCAUUUCCUAACUACCCCCCACCCUGCCUACCCAAAAGAACAAAACUACGAAAAAAGAAACAAUAGAAAAGGAAGUUAAAGCACAGCAAGAAAAACUGUUUACCAAAGAAAUUGUGUGUUUAUGUGUUGAUGAUGUUGAUGAAGAAGACGCCAACUUCCGGUUAGGGAAAUGUGAAUCAUUUAACUAUUCUUCUAGAUACUCUAAAAUUGUUAACGAAUAUGUGUAUGUGUGAACUACUACUAUUGCUACUAAUACAAACAAACAACUAAAUAAAAAACACAAACACAUUGUAAAACAUAUUUUUGUGAUAUUGUUAUAUACAUUUCAUCUCUCUCUCUCCCUCUAUCAUUCUCUCGCUCUGUUUUACAUCCUUUUGCCAAGUUGUGGUUUGUGCUUUAUCAUCAUAAACUAGAAUUGCAACUACAAAAACAUCAACAGCAACUAUAUAACCAUCACCUCCCGCAACAUCGACGUCGUUAUCAUCAUCAUCAGUAGCAGCAGCAGCAGCAGCCACAAAAACAAAAACAUUUUAAGUUGUACAAGAAGAAAAAAUCAAGCCUUAAAAUUGUAUCAUCCUAUAAAUCACAAUGGCAAGUCACAGAUAUACCACAACCCAAGCUGAAGGAACACAAGCUGAAGUUGCAGACGUCAUCAACAACGCCCAAAUAUCUAAGGCGAUUGGUACUGAUGAUAUAUCCAUGCUGAUGUUAAAACACCUUGGCGAGCGGGGAUUUGAGUUGAAACUAUGGUUUUCAAUAAGUCACUGAGCAGCCUUGUAAAACCCGAAGCCUGAAAAAAGGGUAGAGUAAUUAUUAUUUUAAAACUUGGGAAUAUCGCGGAGGGACAAUCAUACAGGCCAAUAUCCCUCCUACCACCAGUUGCGAAGACACUCGAGGCAUUUCGAGGCUAAUCAUCACCAUCACCAUUGCCACUCAAAUCUUACAAGAACGGUCCUAGUGGCUCUUGGCUUAGUGACCAUCAGUCACUCCACACAUUUCGAGGAUAUCCACAAGGCCCAACAACAGAAAUGGAUCGUAAAUUAUCUGUGUGGAAGUCAGUCGUUCGUAGGGUUUAGAGACAAAGACGAACCCCCUACAAUAAAUAUACAAGGUAUACCCCAAGGUGGAGUAUUAUCAAAGUUUUUUGCUUAACUUCAACCCCCGUACCUGGUGUGGACGGGAUUUUUUAUGCCGUCAAAAACUAUACAAUUAUGGCGACGUGCCACAACUUUGAUGUAUUAUGAGUUCUUCACUGACGGUAACCUGUCAUUAUCAACAGCAAAGACUUACGUUUUACCACCUGGACGAAGGCAGUAGAACUAAAUCGUGGUCGAUGGAGUUCUUUACUUCCUCAGUUCACACAACUACAAUCACCCACAAAUUGCGAAGUAGAAACAAGGCCCUAAAAGCACUAGCCGGCAGCAGUUGGAGUGUGUUGUUAACUAAAUAUAAAACGAAUAGUGGUAAAUUAUGCUUCCCCAAUGUAUUCACCUUUGCUCAGUGAUACUCAGUGGAGAAACAUUCAUUCAUCUGCAAGAGAAAACGAAGUUCUUCUUGUUAGUCAAGGAACACAAUUUCAUGUUGACAAAAUAGUUCCUCCUAGGAUGACAUCGGAAAGGGAUGACAUCACACCGCAUGUCAGGAAGGAUCUUCGUAUCACCAAAGCAAAAACUAUUAAUGUACACUCAGACUGUACAUGAUCAUAAAGCAAAUGCCUUAAA